CUUCUUUAUUUUUAAUAACUCAUGACAUCCUACAAGAAGGAAAACGGUACAAUAAAGAGAAAUAAAAUUUCAGCAUGAACUAGAAGUUAAUGCUAGCUUGUCACUCAAAAUGUGUCUCCAACCCAGUGGAUCUCAAAUUUCUGUAUUCACCAGAAUUACUAGAAAGGCUUGUUAAAACACAGACUCCUGGGCCCCUCUUUCAGAUACUUCUGAUUUAGUAGGUCUGUGGUGGAGUCCAGAAAUUUACAUUUCUAAGUUCCCAGGUGGCUCUGAUGCUACUGGUCUGGGGGCCAUAUUUUGAGAACCACUGCUCUUACCAACUGUUUAUUAAUUACACUCUAACGUAAAUAUAAACUGUAAAUUCAGUAAACUUAUUGGGCACCAUGUAGAAGCCAAAAGAUUGUGACUCAGGAUGAGGCAAGAUGGCAGAAAGCCUUCUUUUCUUUUAAAUAUAUAGAGAUUUGUUCAGGAAAUUUUAAAAACUGAAAGUAUUUCUCAAGUCAUAGGCUCACUCAUCGCAGAGAUCUUAUUCAAAAUAAACAGAAAAUGCAACACUUUAUUAAAGUAAAAGUCUCUUUACUAUUAAUAUACAAAUGGUGAAGAGUGACAAUUUUGAUAUACUGUAAGCCAUACUUUCAAUGUCUCUCAUAAAUACAAAACUUCAACAUUUGCAGAAUAAUUUUUACAGUUUAGACAUAUAUAUACAGCAUUUCAUAGGGACAUACUAUAUUGAAACAAUAAGAAAACUGAGAUAGCUAGCUUAAAAAUAUAGAAAUUGCAUGGAAUAUAUAAGUUCAAGAAAAUAAAAGAUAGUAUGUUUUAAUGCAUACUGAACACAGCAUAGAAUUCACAUACCAACAAAAAAGGUUUUUUAACUUUUAUUUCUAAGUUCACAUAUUCCUAGUAGAGUUUAGAGGCAAGUGCUAAACCAUGAACAUUCCUUUAAGAAUUGGAACAAAUAUAUUUGCUCUUAACAGAAUCAUUUAUUGUAUAUAACGCACGUUGUUCUCUAAGAAAUCCUAGUUGCAAAAUUGAAUCCUAGGUUCUAUUUGUUAACUUUCUUCUCUGGAUUUCACUAAGCUCUCUCCUUUGCAUCAGUGUAAUUGGCCUUAAUUUUCAUCUUAGGGAUGGACCCAAUCCGUGGUCCAGCACAUCGCACACUGAGGUCCUUCUUACCUAAACAAAAUGUAGCUCACCUUGCCUUUCUCGAUUCUUUCAGUUCCCUGUUCCUCUAUUCCCCUAUGCCUGCUUGUGAUGUGAAAUUUUCCACCCGUCAUUGUUUCGCUUAUUCUUUUCCAAGGAAGGCUAAAAUUAGAUGCUAAAAGAUAUAUGCUUUCAUUUCAGGAAAAAAGAAAUAAAAAGAAGUGGCAAUAUUUCACUUAUAUGGGCAAUUUUUAUAUUAAUAAUUAUACAUCAUAUGGCCAAAAUCCUG
rnacentral:lncRNA from 1 species